rnacentral:rRNA from 1 species
UACGUAGGGUGCAAGCGUUGUCCGGAAUUAUUGGGCGUAAAGAGCUCGUAGGCGGUUUGUCGCGUCGGCUGUGAAAUCCUCCGGCUCAACUGGAGGCCUGCAGUCGAUACGGGCAGACUAGAGUGCUGUAGGGGAGACUGGAAUUCCUGGUGUAGCGGUGAAAUGCGCAGAUAUCAGGAGGAACACCGGUGGCGAAGGCGGGUCU